UUAAGCGACUAAGCGUACACGGUGGAUGCCCUGGCAGUCAGAGGCGAUGAAGGACGUGCUAAUCUGCGAUAAGCGUCGGUAAGGUGAUAUGAACCGUUAUAACCGGCGAUUUCCGAAUGGGGAAACCCAGUGUGUUUCGACACACUAUCAUUAACUGAAUCCAUAGGUUAAUGAGGCGAACCGGGGGAACUGAAACAUCUAAGUACCCCGAGGAAAAGAAAUCAACCGAGAUUCCCCCAGUAGCGGCGAGCGAACGGGGAGGAGCCCAGAGCCUGAAUCAGUGUGUGUGUUAGUGGAAGCGUCUGGAAAGGCGCGCGAUACAGGGUGACAGCCCCGUACACAAAAAUGCACAUGCUGUGAGCUCGAUGAGUAGGGCGGGACACGUGGUAUCCUGUCUGAAUAUGGGGGGACCAUCCUCCAAGGCUAAAUACUCCUGACUGACCGAUAGUGAACCAGUACCGUGAGGGAAAGGCGAAAAGAACCCCGGCGAGGGGAGUGAAAAAGAACCUGAAACCGUGUACGUACAAGCAGUGGGAGCACAGAGCAAUCUGUGUGACUGCGUACCUUUUGUAUAAUGGGUCAGCGACUUAUAUUCUGUAGCAAGGUUAACCGAAUAGGGGAGCCGAAGGGAAACCGAGUCUUAACUGGGCGUUAAGUUGCAGGGUAUAGACCCGAAACCCGGUGAUCUAGCCAUGGGCAGGUUGAAGGUUGGGUAACACUAACUGGAGGACCGAACCGACUAAUGUUGAAAAAUUAGCGGAUGACUUGUGGCUGGGGGUGAAAGGCCAAUCAAACCGGGAGAUAGCUGGUUCUCCCCGAAAGCUAUUUAGGUAGCGCCUCGUGAAUUCAUCUCCGGGGGUAGAGCACUGUUUCGGCAAGGGGGUCAUCCCGACUUACCAACCCGAUGCAAACUGCGAAUACCGGAGAAUGUUAUCACGGGAGACACACGGCGGGUGCUAACGUCCGUCGUGAAGAGGGAAACAACCCAGACCGCCAGCUAAGGUCCCAAAGUCAUGGUUAAGUGGGAAACGAUGUGGGAAGGCCCAGACAGCCAGGAUGUUGGCUUAGAAGCAGCCAUCAUUUAAAGAAAGCGUAAUAGCUCACUGGUCGAGUCGGCCUGCGCGGAAGAUGUAACGGGGCUAAACCAUGCACCGAAGCUGCGGCAGCGACGCUUAUGCGUUGUUGGGUAGGGGAGCGUUCUGUAAGCCUGCGAAGGUGUGCUGUGAGGCAUGCUGGAGGUAUCAGAAGUGCGAAUGCUGACAUAAGUAACGAUAAAGCGGGUGAAAAGCCCGCUCGCCGGAAGACCAAGGGUUCCUGUCCAACGUUAAUCGGGGCAGGGUGAGUCGACCCCUAAGGCGAGGCCGAAAGGCGUAGUCGAUGGGAAACAGGUUAAUAUUCCUGUACUUGGUGUUACUGCGAAGGGGGGACGGAGAAGGCUAUGUUGGCCGGGCGACGGUUGUCCCGGUUUAAGCGUGUAGGCUGGUUUUCCAGGCAAAUCCGGAAAAUCAAGGCUGAGGCGUGAUGACGAGGCACUACGGUGCUGAAGCAACAAAUGCCCUGCUUCCAGGAAAAGCCUCUAAGCAUCAGGUAACAUCAAAUCGUACCCCAAACCGACACAGGUGGUCAGGUAGAGAAUACCAAGGCGCUUGAGAGAACUCGGGUGAAGGAACUAGGCAAAAUGGUGCCGUAACUUCGGGAGAAGGCACGCUGAUAUGUAGGUGAAGUCCCUCGCGGAUGGAGCUGAAAUCAGUCGAAGAUACCAGCUGGCUGCAACUGUUUAUUAAAAACACAGCACUGUGCAAACACGAAAGUGGACGUAUACGGUGUGACGCCUGCCCGGUGCCGGAAGGUUAAUUGAUGGGGUUAGCGCAAGCGAAGCUCUUGAUCGAAGCCCCGGUAAACGGCGGCCGUAACUAUAACGGUCCUAAGGUAGCGAAAUUCCUUGUCGGGUAAGUUCCGACCUGCACGAAUGGCGUAAUGAUGGCCAGGCUGUCUCCACCCGAGACUCAGUGAAAUUGAACUCGCUGUGAAGAUGCAGUGUACCCGCGGCAAGACGGAAAGACCCCGUGAACCUUUACUAUAGCUUGACACUGAACAUUGAGCCUUGAUGUGUAGGAUAGGUGGGAGGCUUUGAAGUGUGGACGCCAGUCUGCAUGGAGCCGACCUUGAAAUACCACCCUUUAAUGUUUGAUGUUCUAACGUUGACCCGUAAUCCGGGUUGCGGACAGUGUCUGGUGGGUAGUUUGACUGGGGCGGUCUCCUCCUAAAGAGUAACGGAGGAGCACGAAGGUUGGCUAAUCCUGGUCGGACAUCAGGAGGUUAGUGCAAUGGCAUAAGCCAGCUUGACUGCGAGCGUGACGGCGCGAGCAGGUGCGAAAGCAGGUCAUAGUGAUCCGGUGGUUCUGAAUGGAAGGGCCAUCGCUCAACGGAUAAAAGGUACUCCGGGGAUAACAGGCUGAUACCGCCCAAGAGUUCAUAUCGACGGCGGUGUUUGGCACCUCGAUGUCGGCUCAUCACAUCCUGGGGCUGAAGUAGGUCCCAAGGGUAUGGCUGUUCGCCAUUUAAAGUGGUACGCGAGCUGGGUUUAGAACGUCGUGAGACAGUUCGGUCCCUAUCUGCCGUGGGCGCUGGAGAACUGAGGGGGGCUGCUCCUAGUACGAGAGGACCGGAGUGGACGCAUCACUGGUGUUCGGGUUGUCAUGCCAAUGGCACUGCCCGGUAGCUAAAUGCGGAAGAGAUAAGUGCUGAAAGCAUCUAAGCACGAAACUUGCCCCGAGAUGAGUUCUCCCUGACUCCUUGAGAGUCCUGAAGGAACGUUGAAGACGACGACGUUGAUAGGCCGGGUGUGUAAGCGCAGCGAUGCGUUGAGCUAACCGGUACUAAUGAACCGUGAGGCUUAACCUU
rnacentral:rRNA from 1 species